rnacentral:tRNA from 1 species
GGGUGUGCGGCAGCGUGGGAGAGCUGCGCCUGCCUGUAAAGCAGGUCAUUGCGAGCAGGUUCGACUCCUGUCACACCCA